GUGAUUUUACUCAUGCUCAAUUCUUCAAAUUCUGUCAAAUAUCCUCUGCUUAGUCAAUCAAAUAUUUUACAGUGAGAGAAUAUGUCAAAGAUUUUGUUUUUGUUUGCUUCUUCUUUAGAUUGAUUUCAAUCUUCCUCUUGGACAUGAGAGCUUACAAGUUAGGCAAAAAGUAGGUCAGGACAUUUUAUGGUAUAAAAACUUUUAUAUGUGCUCCUUGUAGAUGGAAAAUCUCUUUGUUGUAGAAUAAUGACUAACUAGAUAACUAGUUAGUUUAGUAGUUUUCUUUCUCAAAUUGCUGCUCUAGAUUUUAUUCUUGAUCACAUAUGACAACAUAUUGCAUCAUCUAGCACGCUUUCACCGUUCCUCUUGAAAACGAGUGCUUACAAUUUGAAUAGUGUAGUUGAAGAUUCAUAUGAAGUUUAUUAUUUUAGAUGUGUUCAUUAGAAAUGGGAAGGAAUAAUUGUUCAUCUUUUAGGUGGACAGUCCCUUUUGUUCAG
rnacentral:misc_RNA from 1 species